rnacentral:misc_RNA from 1 species
UGUGAUACUAUCAUCACUUUCGAUAGAUGAACAAGUUACUCAAUGCUUCAUCAGCCCCAUUAAUAGGCCUACUAAUCCCAUUGUAUCCCCUUCCCAUCCCAUAAAACCCUGUUUUCCUCAAUCUUGAUGGAUUGUCUGUAGAAUGUCUUCAACCAGUGAAGAGUCUCCUCGAAGAUGUUGAUAAAAUAUUGUAGCUAAAGAGCUAAUUCAUAAUGCUCAAACUCUGGUAAGCUGGUUUGAUUUGA